UGGGAAGGAAUGCUUUUCCAUGCUGGUA
rnacentral:piRNA from 1 species